UACAGAGGUCUCAAGCGUUGUUCGGAUUCAUUGGGCGUAAAGGGUGCGUAGGCGGCGCGGUAAGUCGGGUGUGAAAUCUCGGGGCUUAACUCCGAAACUGCAUUCGAUACUGCCGUGCUUGAGGACUGGAGAGGAGACUGGAAUUCAUGGUGUAGCAGUGAAAAUGCGUAGAGAUCAUGAGGAAGACCAGUGGCGAAGGCGGGUCGCUGGA
rnacentral:rRNA from 1 species